UACAGGGGGUGCAAACGUUGCUCGGAAUUAUUGGGCGUAAAGCGCACGUAGGCGGUUUGUUAAGUCUGCUGUGAAAGCCCCGGGCUCAACCUGGGAAUGGCAGUGGAUACUGGCAAGCUAGAGUGCGGUAGAGGGUAGUGGAAUUCCCGGUGUAGCGGUGAAAUGCGUAGAGAUCGGGAGGAACACCAGUGGCGAAGGCGGCUACCUGGACCAGCACUGACACUGAGGCACGAAAGCGUGGGGAGCAAACAGG
rnacentral:rRNA from 1 species